GAGUUGUAGUCUGGAGAAGUGCUUUNCGCGNNCUGGNCCGUGUACAAGUCUCUUGGAACAGAGCGUCAUAGAGGGUGAGAAUCCCGUCUUUGACACGGACUACCAGUGCUUUGUGAUGCGCUCUCAAAGAGUCGAGUUGUUUGGGAAUGCAGCUCAAAAUGGGUGGUAAAUUCCAUCUAAAGCUAAAUAUUGGCGAGAGACCGAUAGCGAACAAGUACCGUGAGGGAAAGAUGAAAAGCACUUUGGAAAGAGAGUUAAACAGUACGUGAAAUUGCUGAAAGGGAAACGCUUGAAGUCAGUCGCGUCGUGCAGGACUCAGCCUUGCUUUUGCUUGGUGCACUUUCUGUACGACGGGCCAGCAUCAAUUUUGACCGUCGGAAAAGGGCUGAGGGAAUGUGGCACCUUCGGGUGUGUUAUAGCCUUCAGUCGCAUACGGCGGUUGGGAUUGAGGAUCGCAGCGCGCCGCAAGGCAGGGGUUCGCCCACUUUCGCGCUUAGGAUGCUGGCAUAAUGGCUUUAAACGACCCGUCUUGAAACACGGACCAAGGAGUCUAACUUACCUGCGAGUGUUUGGGUGGAAAACCCGAGCGCGUAAUGAAAGUGAAAGUUGGGACCUCUGUCGUGGAGGGCACCGACGCCCGGACCUGACGUUCUCUGACGGAUCCGCGGUAGAGCAUGUAGGUUGGGACCCGAAAGAUGGUGAACUAUGCCUGAAUAGGGUGAAGCCAGAGGAA
rnacentral:rRNA from 1 species